ensembl:miRNA Mir3069 microRNA 3069
CUUGGCAGUCAAGAUAUUGUUUAGCAGACGGAGCGGUUUCUGUUGGACACUAAGUACUGCCACAA